rnacentral:rRNA from 1 species
AGAGAAGAGAGUGGUCGUUGUGCAAAAGACUGUUUUGCCAUAUCAUGGCUUCGAGUGGGAGGUUCCAGUACAUGAAGAUGGUCCUUCUCCUUGUUAUACUGGAGCUCAUUCUGGGAAUCUCUGCAGGUUACGGCCGCGGAGUCCCCAUCUACAGCAAAUAUUAUACCGGAGGCGAUCCUAAUGGGCCGGGUCAUUAUUGCUGCCGUUAAAUCAGCAUUGUACUGUAUGUCUAUCAUUCCUCCCCGUUGAAAGAAGAUCUAGUGUGGAAGAAGGUCUGACUGAAGUUCGUCGUUUUGUACUCCCUUCGUCAGAAAAUAACUGUUGGUAAAACAGAUGUAUCUAGACAUAUUUCAGUGUUAGAUACACCCAUUUGAGCGAUGGUUAUUUUGGGACGGAGGAAGUUUUAGCUCGCCGCUUAUGUUCGAGUCCGGUAUAGUUCUGUUUCAGGUGUAAACAGGUCCUGGUUGCAUCGUGUUAGGCAUGUUACCGUGUGGUUUUGGGUGUCAAGUCCAUCUGUCCAAGUGAUGUAAAAGCCUUUUUGGCCUAUAUAAACAAAGAGAAAACCAAUGAAAAGACCAGGUUGCACACUCGUGCUUUUGUUGUAUCCGGCCGUUUAAUAAAGGAUAUCCUGUUACUCA